AUAGGGCGGACCUUGAAGCCGACUGCCCUGAGGCCAAUCAGCAAACUGGCCUUCGCCAGCCGCUUUUGGCUUUUUUCUUGACCAAUUAGCUGGCUGGUAAUGGGCUGCUUCUUCCUCCCAGUCUGUUUCCUCAGAGGAGGAUUCUUCACCUGCUUCAGAGCUACUAAGAGCUGGCUCCCCGAGCCCAUCCUCCUUUUCCUAGAGACCUCCGCUAAUUGAUCUUUCUUCUUUUCCCUUUUUCCUCUUUUUCUUCUAAUCUCUCUCCAGGUAUUCUUACCUGACCUAAACUUUUCCUCGGGUUCAAGACCCUUGGAAAGGCCUGUAUACUUAUUUUGUGUACCAUAUUUCCUUUUUGUUCCUACUCUCUCUCCCCGCUUUACUUCUGAUAGCUUGUCCUGAAUUUCAUCUAGAAUCCGCCCUAUCUUAACCACUUGAUAACAUGUGAAAAGGAACAAAAGGGCUCCUAACACCAGAAAAAAUUCAAGGCCAAACAUACUCACUGGUACUCUCGUUCCCCAGCUGAAAAGUUCUGAAUUCAUACAGUUGAAUCCUUCUUAACAGUCUGCUUUACGGGAACCUUUAUCACCGUCGUUCCCCAGCUGAUGAGUUCUGAAUUCGGCAGUUGAAUCCUUCUCAACAGUCUGCUUUACGGGAACCUUUAUCACCGUCGUUCCCCAGCUGAUGAGUUCUGAAUUCGGCAGUUGAAUCCUUCUCAACAGUCUGUGUUACGGGAACCUUUAUAAACGUGAUCCGCAGUUCUGGUUCUGGAAUGAAGUAUCCCUCCUGCGCCAGUCCGGAGUUUUUUCUCGUCCCGGAUUUUCGGCACCAAUUGUUAUUCGUCGCGUUCUCACGACCGGCCAGGAAGAACACAACAACCAGAAUCUUCUACGGCAAAGCUUUAUUGCUUACAUCUUAUGGGGCCAGAGUGUAAGAAGCAAGAGAGAGAAGCAAGAGAGAGCGAAGCAAGAGAGAGCGAAGCAAGAGAGAGAGAAAAACGAAACCCCUUCUAUUUUAAAGAGAACAACCAUUGCCUAGGGCGCAUCACUCCCUGAUUGGCUGCAGCCCAUGGCCGAGCUGACGUUCACGGGAAAAACAGAGUACAAGUAGUCGUAAAUACCCUUGGCUCAUGCGCAGAUUAUAUGUUUACCAACUUAGAACACAGGAUGUCAGCGCCAUCUUGUGACGGCGAAUGUGGGGGCGGCUUCCCACA
rnacentral:lncRNA from 1 species